CGAGCGCAACCCUGAUCUCCAGUUACCAUCAUUUAGUUUGGGUANCUGGAGAGACUGUCGGUGAUAAACCGGAGGAAGGCGGGGACGACGUCAAGUCAUCAUGGCCCUUAUGGGUUGGGCUACACACGUAAUACAAUGGCCUACACGAUAGCGCACUU
rnacentral:rRNA from 1 species